UCCCUGGUGGCUCAGACAGUAAAGUGUCUGCCUGCAAUGCAGGAGACCUCGGUUCGAUUCCUGGGUCGGGAA
rnacentral:tRNA from 1 species